rnacentral:misc_RNA from 1 species
GAUGAGAACGUAGCGAAAUGCGAUAAGUAAUGUGAAUUGCAGAAUUCAGUGAAUCAUCGAAUCUUUGAACGCACAUUGCGCCCGCCAGUAUUCUGGCGGGCAUGCCUGUUCGAGCGUCAUUUCAACCAUCAAGCCCCCGGCUUGUGUUGGGGACCUGCGGCUGCCGCAGGCCCUGAAAACCAGUGGCGGGCUCGCUAGUCACUCCGAGCGUAGUAGUUACAUCUCGCUCAGGGCGUGCUGCGGGUUCCGGCCGUUAAAAGCCUUAUUUACCCAAGGUUGACCUCGGAUCAGGUAGGAAGACCCGCUGAACUUAAGCAUAUCAAUAAGCGGAGGA